UACGUAGGGUGCGAGCGUUAAUCGGAAUUACUGGGCGUAAAGCGUGCGCAGGCGGUUCGCUGUUUCCUGUGUGAAAGCCCCGGGCUUAACCUGGGAAUGGCAUGGGAAACUGGCGGGCUGGAGUGUGGCAGAGGGGGGUGGAAUUCCGCGUGUAGCAGUGAAAUGCGUAGAGAUGCGGAGGAACACCGAUGGCGAAGGCAGCCCCCUGGGCUAACACUGACGCUCAGGCACGAAAGCGUGGGGAGCAAACAGG
rnacentral:rRNA from 1 species